AACGAACGCUGGCGGCAGGCUUAACACAUGCAAGUCGAGCGCCCCGCAAGGGGAGCGGCAGACGGGUGAGUAACGCGUGGGAAUCUACCCAUCUCUACGGAAUAACGCAUGGAAACGUGUGCUAAUACCGUAUAAGUCCUUCGGGAGAAAGAUUUCUCGGAGAUGGAUGAGCCCGCGUUGGGUUAGAUAGUUGUUGGGGUAAAGGCCUACCAAGGCGACGAUCCAUAGCUGGUCUGAGAGGAUGAUCAGCCACACUGGGACUGGGACACGGCCCAGACUCCUACGGGAGGCCGCAGUGGGGAAUAUUGGACAAUGGGCGCAAGCCUGAUCCAGCCAUGCCGCGUGAGUGAUGAAGGCCCUAGGGUUGUAAAGCUCUUUCACCGGUGAAGAUAAUGACGGUAACCGGAGAAGAAGCCCCGGCUAACUUCGUGCCAGCCGCCGCGGUAAGAC
rnacentral:rRNA from 1 species